GUUAUAUAUCAGAGCAUGGAUUGUUCCUUCAGUAGUUGAUUUUUUUUGUGUCUAAAUAAUUUUGCAAAAGUUGAUUUUAUCCAUCUAUAUUCUUGCUUAUUUUUCUCCGAUUUAAUCGAGUGGUUAUGUUAUAUUGUGGAGGUUUUAAAUUAAUAUAUUUGUGAAAAUGUGUCACAAUGUUGUUGCAAAAGUUGAUUUUAUCCAUCUAUAUUAUGCACAUUUUUUGUGGUAUUUAAUUGAGUGGUAAGGUUAGUUGAAAGUGAAUUUGAAAGUGGAUAUUUAGUUUUUAAAUUAAUAUAAUUGUGCCAUGUUCUUGUUAUAUCAGAGCAUGGAUUGUUCCUUUUAGUAGUUGCAUUGCAGGGUGUCACAAUGUUGUUGCAAAAGUUGAUUUUAUCCAUCAUAUUCUGCACAUUUAUUGUGGUAUUUAAUUGGAUGGAAAGGUUAGCUGAAGAAGGAAUGUGAAAGUGGAUAUUUUAGGUUUUAAAUUAAUAUAUUUGUGCCAUUUUCUUCUUAUAUAUCAGAGCAUGGAUUGUUCCUUCAGUAGUUGAUUUUUUUGUGUCCAAAUUAAUGUUGAGAAAAUGUGUCACAAUGUUGUUGCAAAGUUGAUUUAUGCAUCAUAUUCUGCUUAUUUUUUGUGGUAUUUAAUUGAGUGGUAAUGCUAUAUUGUGGAGGUUGAAAGAGAAGGUGAAAGUAGUGUGGAUAUUUAGGUUUUUAAAUUAAUAUUUGUUUCUUGUUAUAUCAGAGCAUGGAUUGUUCCUUCAGUAGUGCAUAUAUAUCAUAUUCUUGCUUAUUUUUUGUGGUAUUUAAUCGAGUGGUAAUGCUAUAUUGUGGAGGUUGAAAUAGAAUAGGAAAAGAAAGUGAAAGUAGUGUGGAUAUUUAGGUUUUAAAUUAAUAUAUUUGUGCCAUUUUCUU